ACAUGCAAGUCGAACGCGAAAGGGGGCAACCCCCGGUAGCGUGGCAGACGGGUGAGUAACACGUGGGUAACCUACCCCGAGGUGGGGGAUAACCCUCCGAAAGGAGGGCUAAUACCGCAUGACACCUGGAGGUCCGCGGAUCUCCAAAUCAAAGCUAGCCUCUGCUUGCAAGCUAGCGCCACGGGAGGGGCCCGCGCCCCAUUAGCUAGUUGGUGAGGUAACGGCUCACCAAGGCGACGAUGGGUAGCCGGCCUGAGAGGGCGAUCGGCCACACUGGAACUGAGACACGGUCCAGACUCCUACGGGAGGCAGCAGUGAGGAAUAUUGCGCAAUGGGCGAAAGCCUGACGCAGCGACGCCGCGUGGAGGACGAAGGUCUUCGGAUCGUAAACUCCUGUCGAGCGGGACGAAGCCGGAACGGUGAACAGCCGCUUCGGUUGACGGUACCGCUUAAGGAAGCCCCGGCUAACUCCGUGCCAGCAGCCGCGGUAAUACGGAGGGGGCCAGCGUUGUUCGGA
rnacentral:rRNA from 1 species